rnacentral:lncRNA from 1 species
UUUAAAAGAAGUUAAUAUCUUUAUUCUACUUUUCCCAGAUUGCUUUCUCACUGCCCCUCCUUGUACACAUUACCUCGUUUGAAGCAGAGGUAAUGCCUUGUUUUCAGUAGGUCCUGAAGAAAAUAAUGUGAGGAUGGUUUAAGAGUCUGUGCUGCACCAUGUUUAUCAUGGUUGUUUGUUUCAGACUCUUGACCCUCUAUUCCCGUGGCUUAAACUUACACUCUGGUACCUUUGCAGGAUGGUUCCUACAUCAGUUGAACGACUCCGAGAAGGAGGUAGCAUCCCUAAGGUUCUUCGAAGCAGUGUGAGAGUUGCCCAAAAGGGAGAGCCAUCUCCCACGUGGGAGAGCAACAUCACAGAGAAAGAGUCAGGUGAGCGAAGGUCUGCAGUUCACAGCAAAUGUUGGGAUAAAGUGAAUCAGUUUCUGACAUACUUGGGUUCUGCUUUAUGCUAGCUUCCAGUUCAGUCUUACUCUUUGGGCUACAGUAUACACGAGAUCUAGCAUUGCUUGCUCUUUGUCUGCUCUCUUCCCAAGGGAUACUUUUCU